rnacentral:misc_RNA from 1 species
UCUCCGUAGGUGAACCUGCGGAAGGAUCAUUAUUGUAUAGCCGAGGUGCGAGGGCUGUCGCUGACCCGAAAGGUCGUGCACGCCCGAGUGCCCUCACACACAUCCAUCUCACCCCUAUGUGCACAACCGCGUGGGUCCCCCUUUGGCUUGUUCGGAGGGGGGCUUACGUUUUCACACAAACUUUGUAUGCAGUGUAGAAUGUAUUUUUUGUUUUUGCGAUCACGCAAUCAAUACAACUUUCAACAACGGAUCUCUUGGCUCUC